rnacentral:rRNA from 1 species
UACGGAGGGGGCUAGCGUUGUUCGGAAUUACUGGGCGUAAAGCGCGCGUAGGCGGACCUGCAAGUCGGGGGUGAAAGCCCGAGGCUCAACCUCGGAACUGCCUUCGAUACUGCAGGUCUCGAGUCCGGGAGAGGUGAGUGGAAUUCCCAGUGUAGAGGUGAAAUUCGUAGAUAUUGGGAAGAACACCGGUGGCGAAGGCGGCGACCUGGUCCUU